UACGGGGGGGGGCAAGCGUUGUUCGGAAUUACUGGGCGUAAAGGGCUCGUAGGCGGCCAACUAAGUCGGAUGUGAAAUCCCCAGGCUUAACCUGGGAACUGCAUCCGAUACUGGAUGGCUUGAAUCCGGGAGAGGGAUGCAGAAUUCCAGGUGUAGCGGUGAAAUGCGUAGAUAUCUGGAGGAACACCGGUGGCGAAGGCGGGUCUCUGGGCCGAUACUGACGCUGAGGAGCGAAAGCAUGGGGUAGCGAACAGG
rnacentral:rRNA from 1 species